rnacentral:lncRNA from 1 species
GCCUCCUUAUUUUCUCAACCUAAAUGAUGCAUCAGACAUGUCACUUCAAGCCCUGAGCAUGCUGAGUACCAUGAAAGAAACCGCAUGUCUCAGUAGAAAGUUGGGAGAACCUGAGCCUGAAGUUGGGCGAGACGUGGAGCCUGAAUGUCUUCAUUUGUUAAUUGGGGAUAAAAGUACCAACACCAGAGACUCAUUGUGAGUGUUCUUUGAGAUCAGACGUAAGUUCUUAGCACAAGAUCAGUGGUCAAUCACAUUAAUAAAGCAUCAGGACAAAAGCUGGUUAUUUUAAUUCUCUGCAGUUCAAAGCCAGAAUUAGGACAAGACUGCCUUAGGAGAGUUAAAGGGGCAACAGACAAGCUGUAGGAUUCUAAAAUGGCUCUUUAAAGAGAUCAGUAGUGCCCAGGAUAGAAAGAAAAAAAAUGCUGCUAAGACAGAUGAAAUCCCUCUGCAGAGCUCUGUCCCCAGGAGGUGGGAUGGCCACUGCCCCAGCAGGCAGCGUGAGCUAGACGGUCAGAGUCCAAUUCCCACUAUGUCUGCCAGGCAAAUACUUGCCCAAGGACUGCUUAAAAAUAGCAUCAGACGCCACCCACCACCGAAGGUCAGUUUCCAGGAAGGUAGGGUGAGCGGGUGGAAGGUACUGCGCAAGAGGCUCCACACCUGCCCCCGUGGACCCAGAGCUUAAUUUUCAUUUGGUGAUUCCAAUAUGCUGGCAAGGUGAAGAAGCUAGCUGAUCAGCUACAAACAAGGCCCCUGAUUCUAUUCUCACUUAGCACAACCUGAAGAGCAGCUUUUCACUGGAGAAAAGAUUUGUUUGGGGGAAAAAAGAAGUGUUAUAGCAUGGAGUCAGCCACCUCUUCAGUCCCUAACCAUGGGACUGCCCUUUAAUCUCUUUUGCUGGAACAGAAGAAAAGAAAUAGUUCCAUGGUAUAGCACGGUAUGAGACUCAUGAAAGGGGUCCCAGAAAGUGGCGUGAUCAGAGUAUUAAAGGCUACGAAGAGGUCAGAGUGGGUGAGGAUCCUGAAUGACAGCAGAUUUUCGUGUAAAUUCUUAAAAGUGGCAACGCUGAGAUGAAGCUUAUGAAUAUUUUCAAGGCUUUUGAAAAAACACAGGGAACUUUCCUCCUGAAAGCUUGUACCAACACCUACACUGCAGCGUAUGAGAAUACCUGUCCCACCAUGCCUUUACUGUCCAUGUGCUGCUAUCAAUACAUAUCAAUUAGGAAAAAUGGGUGAUUCCCUAGGGACAACUCAGACCAAGAGAAAGGAAUUAGGUUCCAGCUCUGAGAUUUAGCUUAAAGAGGAAAAAAGCAAAGCAACAAAGAACAAAAUUCUUAUCCCCUUGGGCUGCCCCAAAGGAAUUGGACCAGAAGUCCAUACAGGGGGCAUCUAUUUGAAGCCUCCUGGGUCAUUAUUUCACAAAUCUUCCUUUGCACAAUGGACUUUUUUCUCCUCUUACUCGCAUGCUCAUAAACUCUUAAAUUACAUUUACCUUUACUGGGAUAUAAAGGUCAGAUGUAAUUUACCUAAUAGAACCAACUGAUGGAAAUCUAUACAGAGGAAGAGAUAGGCUCCAAAAGCUAAGAACAUUUUGUCCCUGCCUCUGUGCUGCUCUCAGCAUGUUUUAAAUAUGACCCAGCAUUUGUUAACGGAUACCACAUGUCACCAUCUUUAAAUGACCUUAUCCAUCUUAUCACCACAAUUUCAAACUAAGAAAAAAAACCUCCAUCACCAAAUGAUCCUGAAUGGUCCUGUGUGUCAUGUCAGCCAUCAGCAGCGUUGACGUGGUCAGUAAUUCUUGUAGAUAAUUUAUCAUUUACCAGAUUAUACGGAAAAUAAAAAUCUCUUGAAAAACAUCUCUCUCAAUGUUUGUUUUCGUGGCUCUCGCUAUAACAGUAGUGAAAAGAGAGAAAUUAUUUGAUUAAUUUGGUC